UUACUGUUAUGGUCCAACCUUUCCUCGGUAGAUCUGUCACCUAAACUCACCACUGACAGAAACGGUCAGUGGUUGAUGUGUUAGUGAGAUCUACCGAGAGGUCAGGGGUUCGCGAGCGAAGGGUCACUUCGGGUUAGGGCUCCGGCGCGAAAAGAUCGAAGAGCGUGUUUAGACCGAACCGAGGCGUGCGCGUCCAAAUGUAUCGUAACGUGUGUAAUAUAUAAUUGUUAAUUGUCUUAAA